rnacentral:lncRNA from 1 species
AUACAGCCAAGGUAGUCUUUUCCUGUUGUAGAACAGAUAUAUAAUAUUAUUCUGAGCGGAAAUAUCAUCAAAAUAUAAAAUAUAUAUGCAACAGGAUAAUAAUUGUAUAUAGGACGCCCGCGUCGUCUACAAAAGUCUCAUGAUUCUCAUCGGUGUCUCUAGAAUAAAAAUAUUGAAAGGUAAAAUCAACUAAUAAUUUGGAAGAGCAUUGAGUACAACAAAAAUCCGAAAGUUUUUUUCCAAAUACCGAUUAUGAUAAUCUUUUCCUGUAGGUAGAUAUGUAAUAUUAAAGACAACUAAGAUAAUGUAGAAUUUGAAGCUUGUGUAAAAGGUUUAAAUUUCUGGUUGUCUGUCAGUUUUCCGGAC